rnacentral:rRNA from 1 species
UACGUAGGGGCUAGCGUUGUCCGGAAUCAUUGGGCGUAAAGCGCGUGUAGGCGGCUGGGUAGGUCCGUUGUGAAAACUCGAGGCUCAACCUCGAGACGCCGAUGGAAACCAUCCAGCUAGAGUCCGGAAGAGGAGAGUGGAAUUCCUGGUGUAGCGGUGAAAUGCGCAGAUAUCAGGAAGAACACCCGUGGCUAAGGCGGCUCUCUAGUACGGUACUGACGCUGAGACGCGAAAGCGUGGGGAGCGAACAGG